GCAUAUCAUAAGCGGAGGAAAAGAAACCAACAGGGAUUGCCCUUAGUAACGGCGAAGUGAAGCGGCAACAGCUUCAAAUUUGAAAUCUGGCGCAAGCCCGAGUUGUAAUUUGGAGAGGAUGCUUCUGGGCAGCGGCCGUUCUAAGUUCCUUGGAACAGGACGUCAUAGAGGGUGAGAAUCCCGUAUGUGACCGGCGCGCACCCUCCACGUAGCUCCUUCGACGAGUCGAGUUGUUUGGGAAUGCAGCUCUAAAUGGGAGGUAAAUUUCUUCUAAAGCUAAAUACCGGCCAGAGACCGAUAGCGCACAAGUAGAGUGAUCGAAAGAUGAAAAGCACUUUGGAAAGAGAGUUAAAUAGCACGUGAAAUUGUUGAAAGGGAAGCGCUUGCAACCAGACUUGGCGGCGGUGUUCCGCCGGGCUUCUGCCCGGUCCACUCGCCGCCGCCAGGCCAACAUCAUCUGUGGCCGCCGGAGAAGACGCGGGGAAUGUGGCUCCCUCGGGAGUGUUAUAGCCCCGCUUGAUACGGCGCGCCGCGGGUGAGGUCCGCGCUUCGGCAAGGAUGUUGGCGUAAUGGUUGUCAGCGGCCCGUCUUGAAACACGGACCAAGGAGUCUAACAUCUAUGCGAGUGUUCGGGUGUCAAACCCUUGCGCGUAAUGAAAGUGAACGGAGGUGGGAACUUUUUGUGCACCAUCGACCGAUCCUGAUGUCCUCGGAUGGAUUUGAGUAAGAGCAUAGCUGUUGGGACCCGAAAGAUGGUGAACUAUGCCUGGAUAGGGUGAAGCCAGAGGAAACUCUGGUGGAGGCUCGCAGCGGUUUCUGACGUGCAAAUCGAUUCGUCAAAUUUGGGUAAUAAGGGGCGAAAAGACUAAUCGAACCAUCUAGUAGCUGGUUCCUGCCG
rnacentral:rRNA from 1 species